ensembl:lncRNA novel transcript, antisense to PDPR & CLEC18C
GACUCCAGUCCUGCUGGGAUCACGUCCGCCUCUAGAAAAACAGGUGGCGUAGCAGGUGGGCAGCACGUUGCCAUGAUGUGCCGUGGCCCGGCCGUGGCUGGCGUGAUCCCACCAGAGUGAGCUGGAGCAGAUCUGCACCAUGGGCCAAGUUUCUCAGAAAAUACAUAGCUUCCUGUGGGCUGCAGCCUAAUGCCCACGUUCCUCUCGGGGAAGACCAAAGGUUAUUCAACCAGGGCAAAGGACAGCCUUGCAAACCAACUACGUCCUCCUUCUGGAGUUUGUGUGACCCCUGGCCCCUGAGCCCACACCCUCUCGGAGCGGGGUUCCAACUCCGUGGAAGCUCUGCUGAGAUGCAGACAGGAAAAUAAGAAGGCAGAAGAUGGUCUGCAAAGGAUAAAAACAGGUGCAUCUAAGAAUGAGAAAAAUGGCUCAUGAAGAAAUGUGUAACUCUCCAAGAGAUGCAGACACUCUGCUCAGAGAAGUCAAGAACCAUAAACAACUCUUCAUGUUUCAUGGACAAAGGGAAGGCAAAGGCAUACAAAAAUACUCAGUUGUCUUGAAAAGUGUACUGGUAGUGAUCAGGGCUACAAAGGCGAGCCCUGUACUGACAAUGGAGGAGCCUUACAACUCAGCACCUUAAAUUGUUGGCCUGAAGUGGUGGCGGGGAGGGAGGCGCUGACGGAGAGACCCAUGGCUCACCACUUAUUGCGUGUACACAAGGCCUGGGGCAAGCCUCACAAGUCUACCAUUUCUUCCACUCAACUGUGCUUCUCCUGAAUCCAUGUGCCUGAAAUGACAUAUGCAAGAUGGCUUUGGAGGGGUGCAAAUGCUACGUGUUUGGAAGAGCAGAGGAGGCCUGCAGCUCUCAGUCACCUGUCUCCAUCUUCGGAGAAUGAAACAAGGUCCGAUGCACUAAAGAAAAUGUUACGUAUAUAUCAUGAGGAGCAUAAAGCCCCUUAACUCAGGCCUGAAACAGUCAAAUCAAAUGCCCAACUCAAAGCACUUGUUAAAGAACUGAGGAAAACUUUGCUCCUUCUGAAUGACAACACGGGCCACCGAGAAGAUACCUGCAACUAGGAGCAACUGCGAUAAAGCUUCACUUACGCAUGACUUCCAUGACCCGGUGGCGCAGAAAGGUGCGGCUGCUCUGGAGGGCUCCAAAACGUUUCAGGUCCAAUUCCCAAACGUUUUCUGAGGGAUAACCAUGUACCAUCCAUUCGGCAAGGUACCUAUAUAGACAGAGGGCACGUGUUGGGGCUCAGGUGUGAGAUUUGAGAAAAUUAAUAUUCUACAAAUCGAGAACAAACAGAAUCAAAAGAUCCUAAAUUGCCAUAGACCAGCUGAAUAGUUUUGGGCACUUUCCUUAACUUUUCUGGAAGAAACGAACAUGGGUCUGUGUACUGCUCUCAAAAGACUACUAUGAGGAUUUUACCCCAGAUGAUAAGAUUCCCUAGGAGGUAUUUAACAUAGAAGCCAGCCAGACACAUUGGCUGAUGCCUGUAAUCCCAGAACUUUGGGAGGCUGAGGCAGGAGAUUGCUUGAAGUCAGGAGUUUGAGACCAGCCUGGGCAACAUAGUAAGACCCCGUCUCUACAGAAAAAAAAAAGUUUCAAAGUGAGCCAGGUGGCUCACACCUGUAAUCCCAGCACUUUGGGAGGCCGAGGCAGACGGAUCACUUGAGGUCAGGAGUUCGAAACAAGCCUGACCAAUGUGGAGAAACCCUGUCUCUAUUAAAAAUACAAAAUUAGCCAGUGUGGUGGCACACGCCUGUAAUCCCAGCUACUACGGAGGC